rnacentral:rRNA from 1 species
CGAACGCUGGCGGCGUGCUUAACACAUGCAAGUCGAACGGGACUGAUUGAAAGCUUGCUUUGAAAAGUCUAGUGGCAAACGGGUGAGUAACGCGUAGGCAACCUGCCUCUAAGAUGGGGACAACAGCCCGAAAGGGCUGCUAAUACCGAAUGACAUAAGUAUCUCGCAUGAAGUACUUAUCAAAGAUGGCCUCUACAUGUAAGCUAUCACUUAGAGAUGGGCCUGCGUCUGAUUAGCUAGUUGGUGGGGUAACGGCUCACCAAGGCGACGAUCAGUAGCCGGUCUGAGAGGAUGAACGGCCACAUUGGGACUGAGACACGGCCCAGACUCCUACGGGAGGCAGCAGUGGGGAAUCUUCCGCAAUGGGCGAAAGCCUGACGGAGCAACGCCGCGUGAAGUGAAGAAGGUCUUCGGAUCGUAAAGCUCUGUCGAAGGGGACGAAUGUGGGUUCUAUCAACAACGGAACCUAAUGACGGUACCUUUCAAGAAAGCCACGGCUAACUACGUGCCAGCAGCCGC